GCAAACUUGGUCAUUUAGAGGAAGUAAAAGUCGUAACAAGGUCUCCGUAGGUGAACCUGCGGAGGGAUCAUCAUUGGAACCAAAUUUGGACAAAAGGCUGGUUUGGGUGUGGGGGGAAAAAAACUCUGCACGGCCCCCUUUUGGACAAACAACCAAUCUACGUGACUAGGGAAAGAAAAAAGAGCUGAGCGCGCGCCCCGCAGUUGCCUUGUCUCUGAGUUUUCUUGGGGGCACUGCGCAAGGCAAAGCAAAGCAAAAGUUCUUGUCUGAAAAGUGGCUUUACUGAUUUUGGUGGAGCGCGGAGUAACUAAUACAACUUUCAACAACGGAUCUCUUGGCUCUCACAUCGAUGAAGAACGCAGC
rnacentral:misc_RNA from 1 species